AAAACGGUUCUUAUAAGAACCACCACAUCUAAUAAAAGAAUAUGAA
rnacentral:ncRNA from 1 species